UACGUAGGGUGCGAGCGUUAAUCGGAAUUACUGGGCGUAAAGCGUGUGCAGGCGGUUCGCCAAGUCAGGUGUGAAAUCCCCGGGCUUAACCUGGGAAUUGCGCUUGAAACUAGCGGGCUUGAGUGUGGCAGAGGGGGGUGGAAUUCCACGUGUAGCAGUGAAAUGCGUAGAGAUGUGGAGGAACACCGAUGGCGAAGGCAGCCCCCUGGGUCAACACUGACGCUCAUGCACGAAAGCGUGGGGAGCAAACAGG
rnacentral:rRNA from 1 species